AACUCAAAAAUUCAUUUACAUAAUUCAUUUAAGGUAAAAAAUUAAAAUUCCCGCCCCCAUAAACUCCCUCCGUCUUUUCCCGCCUAAUGAAAAUUCCCACCCCAUAAACUACCUCAAUCGCUUGGCUCCAUUUAAAAAUUUCAUCCCCAAAAAUGAUUCCCCAUUCAAACUGCACUACUACUCCACGGUACGUGUUCCUUUCAAUUUAUUUAAUCUCUUUUUAUAUUUAAUAUUCAGUAUCAUUAAUAUGAGUUCAUUUAAAGCCCAAAUUGACUCUGUGUCACUUUGGUUCAAAUUCCAUUUAAAUAUGUUUUUUUUAUCUCUCGUGUAUUUGCUCUCAUGGAUUUGUACAAGAUGAUUUUAAGAUUAAGAUGGUUAUGAUAGCUUUCCAGACUCAUUGCUAUUCAGUUAUAUUUGUCCAAUAUGUUAUUUUUCUGGGUUAAUGUGUGAAGCAUUUACAUCUCAUAGUUUAUUUGUUCCAAGUUUAUCAGGUGCGGUUAGAGAAUCAGUCAAUGCUCAAACCUCAAAACACACACAUCGAUCAUUUGAGAACACACUAAACGUGGGAAACAUCUGCCAAAAAUGAUCAUAAAUCUUGCUUGGAAACAGGAAAAGAUGGCAAUGAAGGAUGUUCUAUUUGCGAUGAAGAUAAAGAGAAAACUGUGUUGUUUGUACACAUAUUGUAUUUUGUGUUGCUUGCAUACGAAGUGACGUUCUAGAUGGGAUGGAGUAGUGACGGUUUCUUCAUUCGGGAUGUAGAAAGUGAGGAAACUAUAGUAAUUUGUAUUUGGAUAUUUUGUAUAAUUUUGUAAUAUUUUAUGGCAUUAUAUUUCAUAAUUUUUCUUA